GGAGCCAAUUCUUCGAAGAGUUGUAAGAUUAUUAGGCCCCCUUUAGAACUCUCAUCCUAUUCAUUGGGCAUUACUUAUGUGAAAUUUCAUUUAACCAACCAACCACUCCAUGGUAACUUGUGAAAGUUUGGUUUUCAAUUACAUAACUACUGUGGCAUGAUACAUAUUUCCAGAAGACUCAGCAUGACAGAUAUUUUACUUCUGAAGGAAUACAAUGAAAUAAUCGUAACUGCAAGCUUUGUGACUA
rnacentral:misc_RNA from 1 species